GUGAAUCAUCGAAUUUUUGAACGCAACUUGCACUUUUUGGUAUUCCGGGAAGUAUGCCUGUUUGAGGGUCAGUUAAAUAACAAUCGGUGUUGUUGCUGCCUUUAGUGGUGACGCGUCGGGAUUUGGUCGUCUUUCCUUCGGUUCAGUGGCUUCACAUUUUUGCUUGAUUUUCGCACGUUUUUAAAUCUCUUACGUCUGUUUGAGAUAUCGAAUGCUUAUUAGGUUCGGUCAUUCCCAUGAUUCGGGCAUAUAAUUAUUCAUUAAUUGACCUA
rnacentral:misc_RNA from 1 species